UGGGUGGUGGUUCAGUGGCAGAACGCUUGCCUAGCAUGUGUGAGGCACCGAGUUUGAUUCUCGGCGCCACGUAU
rnacentral:tRNA from 1 species